GUGCUCAGCACUGGUAUUAAAAUCAAUACAGAGAAGAGUAGCAUGGCCCUUGUAAGUAAGAUACACAAAUCCGUGAAGUAUUUAUAUUAAAA
rnacentral:snRNA from 1 species